UGGGGAAUAUUGGACAAUGGGCGAAAGCCUGAUCCAGCCAUGCCGCGUGUGUGAAGAAGGUCUUCGGAUUGUAAAGCACUUUAAGUUGGGAGGAAGGGCAGUUACCUAAUACGUGAUUGUUUUGACGUUACCGACAGAAUAAGCACCGGCUAACUCUGUGCCAGCAGCCGCGGUAAUACAGAGGGUGCAAGCGUUAAUCGGAAUUACUGGGCGUAAAGGCGCGCGUAGGUGGUUAGUUAAGUUGGAUGUGAAAUCCCCGGGCUCAACCUGGGAACUGCAUUCAAAACUGACUGACUAGAGUAUGGUAGAGGGUGGUGGAAUUUCCUGUGUAGCGGUGAAAUGCGUAGAUAUAGGAAGGAACACCAGUGGCGAAGGCGACCACCUGGACUGAUACUGACACUGAGGUGCGAAAGCGUGGGGAGCAAACAGGAUUAGAUACCCCCUAGUCCCUGAGCGGGCUGGCAAGGCGCAU
rnacentral:rRNA from 1 species